rnacentral:piRNA from 1 species
UGACAAUGAUCAUGGCUCUAAGUGCUGC